rnacentral:rRNA from 1 species
GGAUAACCUGCCCUGCGGUGGGAAAUAACCCCGGGAAACUGGGGAUAAUGUCCCAUAGGCUACGGAUGCUGGAAUGCUCUGUAGCUCAAAGAUUUGUCGCCACAGGAUGGGUCUGCGGCCGAUUAGGUAGUUGUUGGGGUAACGGCCCAACAAGCCUUUGAUCGGUACGGGUUGUGGGAGCAAGAGCCCGGAGAUGGAUUCUGAGACACGAAUCCAGGCCCUACGGGGCGCAGCAGGCGCGAAAACUUUACAAUGCGGGAAACCGUGAUAAGGGAACUCCGAGUGUCCGUAAAUGCGGACUGUCCGUAUGUCUAAAAAGCAUGCGAAGAAAGGGCCGGGCAAGACCGGUGCCAGCCGCCGCGGUAAUACCGGCGGCUCGAGUGGUGGCCACUAUUACUGGGCUUAAGGCGUUCGUAGCUGGGUCGUUAAGUCUCUUGGGAAAUCUACCGGCUUAACCGAUAGGCGUCCAAGGGAUACUGGCGAUCUAGGGACCGGGAGAGGUGAGGGGUACUUCAGGGGUAGGAGUGAAAUCCUGUAAUCCUUGGGGGACCACCUGUGGCGAAGGCGCCUCACCAGAACGGCUCCGACAGUGAGGGACGAAAGCUGGGGGAGCAAACCGGAUUAGAUACCCGGGUAGUCCCAGCCGUAAACGAUGCGCGUUAGGUGUAUCGAUGACCACGAGUCAUCGAGGUGCCGAAGGGAAACCGUGAAACGCGCCGCCUGGGAAGUACGGUCGCAAGGCUGAAACUUAA